rnacentral:rRNA from 1 species
AUUGAACGCUGGCGGCAGGCCUAACUCAUGCCAGUCGAGCGGAGCGGCGGACGGGUGAGUAAUGCCUAGGAAUCUUCCUGGUAGUGGGGGAUAACUUCCGGAAACGGGCGCUAAUACCCCAUACUUUCAGAUGAGCCUAGUUCGGAUUAGCUAGUUGGUGGGGUAAAGGCCUACCAAGGCGACGAUCCGUAACUGGUCUGAGAGGAUGAUCAGUCACACUGGAACUGAGACACGGUCCAUACUCCUACGGGAGGCAGCAGUGGGGAAUAUUGGACAAUGGGCGAAAGCCUGAUCCAGCCAUGCCGCGUGUGUUAAGAAGGUCUUCGGAUUGUAAAGCACUUUAAGUUGGGAGGCGUUACCAACAGAAUAAGCACCGGCUAAAGAAGUGCCAGCCGCCGCGGUAAUUC